rnacentral:rRNA from 1 species
GAUGAACGCUGGCGGCGUGCCUAAUACAUGCAAGUCGAGCGAACAGACGAGGAGCUUGCUCCUCUGACGUUAGCGGCGGACGGGUGAGUAACACGUGGAUAACCUACCUAUAAGACUGGGAUAACUUCGGGAAACCGGAUCUAAUACCGGAUAAUAUAUUGAACCGCAUGGUUCAAUAGUGAAAGCCGGUUUUGCUGUCACUUAUAGAUGGAUCCGCGCCGCAUUAGCUAGUUGGUAAGGUAACGGCUUACCAAGGCAACGAUGCGUAGCCGACCUGAGAGGGUGAUCGGCCACACUGGAACUGAGACACGGUCCAGACUCCUACGGGAGGCAGCAGUAGGGAAUCUUCCGCAAUGGGCGAAAGCCUGACGGAGCAACGCCGCGUGAGUGAUGAAGGUCUUCGGAUCGUAAAACUCUGUUAUUAGGGAAGAACAAAUGUGUAAGUAACUAUGCACGUCUUGACGGUACCUAAUCAGAAAGCCACGGCUAACUCCGUG